AUUGAACGCUGGCGGCAGGCCUAACACAUGCAAGUCGAGCGGAUGAAGGGAGCUUGCUCCUGGAUUCAGCGGCGGACGGGUGAGUAAUGCCUAGGAAUCUGCCUGGUAGUGGGGGAUAACGUCCGGAAACGGGCGCUAAUACCGCAUACGUCCUGCGGGAGAAAGUGGGGGAUCUUCGGACCUCACGCUAUCAGAUGAGCCUAGGUCGGAUUAGCUAGUUGGUGGGGUAAAGGCCUACCUAGGCGACGAUCCGUAACUGGUCUGAGAGGAUGAUCAGUCACACUGGAACUGAAACACGGUCCAUACUCCUACGGGAGGCAGCAGUGGGGAAUAUGGGACAAUGGGCGAAAGCCUGAUCCAGCCAGGCCGCGUGUGUGAAGAAGGUCUUCGGAUUGUAAAGCACUUUAAGGUGGGAGGAAGGGCAGUAAGUUAAUACCUUGCUGUUUUGACGUUACCAACAGAAUAAGCACCGGCUAACUUCGUG
rnacentral:rRNA from 1 species